AGGGCACCACCAGGAGUGGAGCCUGCGGCUUAAUUUGACUCAACGCGGGGAAACUUACCCGGCCCGGACACCGUAAGGAUUGGCAGAUUGAGAGCUCUUUCUUGAUUCGGUGGGUGGUGGUGCAUGGCCGUUCUUAGUUGGUGGAGCGAUUUGUCUGGUUAAUUCCGAUAACGAACGAGACUCUAGCCUAUUAAAUAGUCGGUAAAUCCUUUGUUUACUGUACUUCUUAGAGGGACAGAAGGCGUCUAGCCUUACGAGAUUGAGCAAUAACAGGUCUGUGAUGCCCUUAGAUGUUCGGGGCUGCACGCGCGCUACACUGAAGGAUUCAACGUGAUUUUUCACCUGUUCUGGAAAGAAUGGGUAACCCGUUGAAACUCCUUCGUGAUUGGGAUAGGGGCUUGUAAUUAUUCCCCUUGAACGAGGAAUUCCUAGUAAGUGCGGGUCAUCAUCUCGCGUUGAUUACGUCCCUGCCCUUUGUACACACCGCCCGUCGCUACUACCGAUUGGAUGAUUUAGUGA
rnacentral:rRNA from 1 species